CCGGGGUCGCCCGGUCUGUGGCUAUGUGGGCUCCUGAGGCGUCUGUCGCACGCCCUUUCCUGACUCGCGCCCCGGAGCCACCGUGUUCUCGGCCUGCAGGCGAGGAGAGGGGCUGAGGGGGGCUACGGGGGGCGCCGGCGGCGGGCUCCUGGGGUCCCUGCGACGUGCUGUGUGGGAGUGAGUCCCCGCUGAGCCGGAGCCCCCGCCUUCCCGCCGCGACCCCACGACUGCGGGAAGGAGCGAGCUGAGGCAACCAAGUGUAAAGACAUGUCCCUAUUCAAACGAAGUCAAGUGAAGAAAAACUUCCUAGAGGACAACUCUGCAGGAAGCCAAGUAUGCCAGGAAAGGUGCAGGGGUGGUGAGGGGGCCCUGACUAGCCGCAGGGCUCCAGGAUGAAGACAUAUGUAUCCUGACACCACGUGGAGCACCUUUUGCAGGCCCCUGCAGCUUAAUCAUGUAAGAGAAAUGGGCGCCGGGAGUGCGGACACCUGUGUGGAGCCCCUGUGCCUUAUCAGAGAACCCAUGGCUACCCGCCCGCCUCACUUUUCUCCAGCGGGAAGGAUUAUCUGAAGAUAGCGUCAGUGCUAGCCAGGCGUCCUGUCCAC